AUACGGAAGGCCCGGGCGUUAUCCGGAUUUAUUGGGUUUAAAGGGAGCGCAGGCGGAGAUGCAAGCGUGACGUCAAAUUUCGGGGCUCAACCCCGUCUCGCGUCGCGAACUGCGUCCCUUGGUUGCGGGAAGGGGAGGCGGAACUCGUGGUGUAGCGGUGAAAUGCAUAGAUAUCACGAAGAACUCCGAUCGCGAAGGCAGCCUUCCGGCCCGUCAACGACGCUCAUGCUCGAAGGUGCGGGUAUCAAACAGGAUUAGAUACCCUGGUAGUCCGCACAGUAAACGAUGGACACCCGCGGUUUGGCCUAUAUGGCUGAGCCGCCAAGCGAAAGCGUUAAGUGUCCCACCUGGGGAGUACGCCGGCAACGGUGAAACUCAAAGGAAUUGACGGGG
rnacentral:rRNA from 1 species